GAUGAACGCUGGCGGCGUGCCUAAUACAUGCAAGUCGAGCGAAUGGAUUAAGAGCUUGCUCUUAUGAAGUUAGCGGCGGACGGGUGAGUAACACGUGGGUAACCUGCCCAUAAGACUGGGAUAACUCCGGGAAACCGGAGCUAAUACCGGAUAACAUUUUGAACCGCAUGGUUCGAAAUUGAAAGGCGGCUUCGGCUGUCACUUAUGGAUGGACCCGCGUCGCAUUAGCUAGUUGGUGAGGUAACGGCUCACCAAGGCAACGAUGCGUAGCCGACCUGAGAGGGUGAGCGGCCACACUGGGACUGAGACACGGCCCAGACUCCUACGGGAGGCAGCAGUAGGGUAUCUUCCGCAAUGGACGAAAGUCUGACGGAGCAACGCCGCGUGAGUGAUGAAGGCUUUCGGGUCGUAAAACUCUGUUGUUAGGGAAGAACAAGUGCUAGUUGAAUAAGCUGGCACCUUGACGGUACCUAACCAGAAAGCCACGGCUAACUACGUGCCAGCAGCCGCGGUAA
rnacentral:rRNA from 1 species